UGCCUUCUCUUAAACCUUAAAUAGCUCUGUAAUUCAUUUUUCGUAUUAAGGCUUGUCUUUGAUUUGUUGACCGACUCGGCCUAGGGUUUUUUUGUUGUCCAUUGUUAUAAUUAUGUUAAGUUUUCGAUUCAUGCGAUCAAAAUCGAUCGAUUAGUGAAGGAAACGCUGGAUGGUUUUAUUUGAUCUCACACCAAUUAUUCGGCACCCUAGGAAACAGUUCUCUUAGGGUUUUUGGCUCCGGAGAGAUUUGAAUCUCUUUCUGAACUAUAUAGCGACUUUUGCUUGUCAUUUUAGCAACUUGAUCGGUUGAAAUAGCAAGGUCUUCAAAUUCCUAAAGACAACGGCAAUGUGGGGAACUGCCAAGAGGCGGCUUCAAUGGGAAAGUAGAUCAUUGACUAUGUUAUUGCAACCAUCAAAGCUUUGCGAAAGAGAGAGAAGGGGUCGUUGCGUGUGGGCGACGAGGUAAGUAGGGUUUCGCCGAUCGGCCAACCGAGCGCCAGAGAAUCCGAGAAGCCAUCCUUCAUCGCUUGCGCCAGAUCACGGUCGAUCAUGGGGAGAGGCAGGUUCAAGGCCAAGCCCACCGGCCGCAGGAACUUCUCCACGCCCGAAGAGAUGGGUAUUUUUCUCUGAUCUGCCUCUGUUUCGGAUACCUAGGGUUUUAUGGUUGUUUCUCGUUCCCAUUCUCGGAUCUUCGUUUUACUUUAGUUUCUCGUAUGUUGUUGGUUUCUCCUCCAUCUGAUGUAGCGUGGUCGGAUCACGUCACGGGGUUAUUUGUGAUCUGUGUGGAUCUUACACUUCCCUUGGAUGGUACGCGGUGUAUCCAGGAAAACAUUGCCGUAGCUUGAACAUGCCGUCGAUUAGUACUCGGCUGAUUAGCUGUUUGCUGAUAUUAGAAUAAUUGUGGGAACGCGUUCGUUCUUGCGGAGUGGUUGGGGAUGGGCUUAUCAACCAGGCUUUUCACAUACCGAUGUAGCGUAGCCCCGUGUUUUAGAAACCCCGAGAUAUGGUUUUAGUGUUUUAGUUGAUCCAAGUGGGCCAGCAACCUCGUACGAGUUCAUUGAAGGGUGAAUAACAUACUUGUAUAGUUAAAAUGCUGUGCUAUUUUUAGCUUUUCAAUUUUUUCACUUGAAGCAGGAUUGCUUUUCUCAUCAAAUGACUGAAAGAUCUGUUCCACACCUUCGUUAUUUUAUCAUUUGUUGUUUUCCUUUUAGCGAUGUAUUUAUAAAAAUUAUUUGCUACCAGUAAUAUUGUGGUACAA